UACGUAGGGGGCGAGCGUUGUCCGGAUUUAUUGGGCGUAAAGAGCGUGUAGGCGGCUCGGUAAGUCCGCUGUGAAAGUCCAGGGCUCAACCCUGGAAUGCCGGUGGAAACUGUCGAGCUAGAGUCCGGAAGAGGCGAGUGGAAUUCCUGGUGUAGCGGUGAAAUGCGCAGAUAUCAGGAGGAACACCAAUGGCGAAGGCAGCUCGCUGGGACGGUACUGACGCUGAGACGCGAAAGCGUGGGGAGCAAACAGG
rnacentral:rRNA from 1 species